ensembl:lncRNA
CCCUGGUUCACCCUGGUCUCAGUGGCAGCCCCUCGCCUCAGCUUCUCCUACAGACCAGAUGCUUCUACUCUCUAGGGCUGCCUGGAGCUCACUGUGUUUAGCGGUGGUUGCCAUGGCAGCAGAGCUGACUCAGGACCAGGUGUCGUGGACCAGGAGAGAAGGGGAAAAUGUCACCUUCAGAUGUACAGACACUGACCAGUGUGGUGCCUAUAUCUACUGGUACCAGAAGAAAGAGAGCGAAACAUUCACCCUGAUUCUUGACAUUUACAAGAGCAAUGGUGCGCUUGAUAAAGGAUACGACCAUCCUCAGAAGGAUGAUUUCUCAUCAGUCCUCAAAGAGAACAGCUGGGAGUUGUUGCUUCAGAAGGUAAAAGCGUCCCAUUCUGCCACCUACUACUGUUCCUGUUGGACUGGUGGUGUCACACAGUGAGACGUUCUCCUUCCUGCCCGUACAAAAACUCUGGUGAUCACAUGACCCAGCCGGUCAUGUCUCAUUGGCUGUUCAAUCUACAUUCAGGCGCUAAUGUAAACUGGACAUGAGUGAGAAGAUCUGAAGCAAUCUCUGUUUCACAGUUAGAUCACAGCCUGGACCUUACUGUCUGUAUUCUAGGCUUCAAUCCAAGCCUCUCCUAUACUGUGCAGAGUUAAUAUCAUCACUGAACUGGUUGUUGGUUACGGUGAGGUGGAUCAAACUAAAGAGUAAAAGACAGACAUCUGGAGGCUCGGACGGAAAUUAAAGACUCACACCUCAAGAAACAAGAAUCUAGUUAAAUACUGAGCUCUGUGGUAGUGAAGCACUCUUGAAGUUCUUACAUCGUCGUCUUCCUUGAGAAGGAACGAGUCUCCGGUGGUUAUUAAAGCCUACGAUGAAAAGAGAAGAAGACCUUGGAGACAUUUCUACUGAGGAAUGAUAUAAUCUCUGCUGAUUUACUCUGCUGGCAUUUACAAAGCCCUCCUCUCAGGAUAACAACAUUCAUCCCCACGCCUCCCUUGUAGUGGUGCUGAUCAUCUGUAGGUGAUCGAUGUGAUCAACAAGUUAUUGAUCAGCGUUGACGGCAUCACAGGCGGUGAGCAGAGGUUUAUGAUACAGGAUAUUUCACUGUGGAUAUCCUAACCUUUGGUCGCGGCACCACCCUGGUUGUUACAGACAGGUCAGUGGUGCGGCCCAAAGUGAGCGUCUACCCAGCGACGGGAGCUGAUUUAAAGGGCCGGCGCUCCCUGCUGUGUGUGGCCAGAGACAUGGUCCCUGAGGAGGUCCGGGUGUCCUGGAGGAGGAGAGGGGGGGCAGAGG